rnacentral:lncRNA from 1 species
AGUAGUUUGGAGUUUUGAGCUUCACUGAACUCGCCCAUGCUUGAAUAUUCAUCAUCUUGAAGAUUUUUGGACAAGUGGAUAAUAGGAUGUUCCAACUGGUUUGAAAGGGACAGGAUUUGAAAGACUGGACUUUGAUGAAGCUUGCUGAACUGAGCUAAGACUUUCUUGAAUUCCAGAGACAGAGAUACUCCUUUAUCUUGAGUUCUGGUGAGGUUUUUCCCUCCUGGAAAACCUUUGGACCAGAGGAUAAAAGGAUGUAACGAACAGGUUUGAACAGAUUUUUAAAGAGAGAUUUUGGACAGGGAUGAUUUGCGGAAGCAAUAUAGGUUCUCAAGAGCUUGAGGCUCUGAUACCAUGUAAGAAUUGAGAUGAAAUAAACGGAAUAUGAUGAGAAUAAGCUUCUGGUUCAGUAUGAAACCAGAGAGAGUGAUUGAUGAGCAAUUGAAAGUAAUGAGAGAGUGAAGAGAGUAUAAAGUGUUUGGGAGAGUUUCUGAGUAUGCUAGAGUAUAAGGGAGUAAUGGAGGUCGUGAGAGACAAGAGAAUAGAGAGAAUAGGAGAAUCUGAGAGUUUAGUAACCAGAGUAUGUGAAGAAAGAGUUUUACUCUCCUUAGUUUACAAUCAGAUACAUCAUUGUCUUAAAUAGACAAGCACACAUAUUAAACAAAUACUAAAACAGGGUUUUACUAAACAAAUAAUAUUGUAGGGUUUUCUGAUGAAGCCAGGAAGGUACAGCCAAGGUGAAUCUCGACCAGAGGGAGUAGAGAGUGACAGGAGAGAGAUAUGGGCACAGUCUGGUUGGGUGAAAGUGACAACAGGUUCAUCCUCUUAUGCACAUGUGACUUUUACUCUAUUUAAUUCCCAACUUGUCUCAGCUCUCUCCAACGGUCUGAUGCUCCAUUUUAACUUCAAAUCUGCUUCAGAAGAUCAAGCUGGACGAGUUCCUCACCUGCCUUACCAUCCAAGUCACUCUAGGUAACUUGGUAGCCAAGACUGUACGGACUGCCUUGUGUAGCAAGGUUUUCCAGACCUGAAUCUUUUCAAGUAUCUCUUCUUCUCUUUGUCUUCUUUAUUUCUAAGAUCAAUGGAUCACACACAGCCAUGCUUCUUCCUUCUCCACUCUAACCAUAACUUGGUUCACAAGUCUGUAUGAACUAGUCUCAUCUUGAAGUAUCCGGAUUACUUCCUCUACAAUAUCAAACUUGGAUCAUGAACCAGAUUCUUCUUCUGGUCAUUCCCUUCUUCAUUUCAACACUCCCCCUCAAGCUUGACCAUAGGAGAUCCUUGGACAAGCUUGGAACCUUGAAGAAGCUCCCUCAUUAAAAACCUUAGCAAGAAAACCCAUUGGGACAAAACUUGCUAAGGGAAAAAGAGUGGAGUUUCUACAAAGCUUAGGGAUUGGCCAGUGAGCCUAAGGAACUUCAGAUUCAUCAUGGUGGAGUCCUUAGGCUCUGGAUCGUGGCCUAAUAGGUAUAGCAAGUAUGAAUCACCAUAACUUGCUAUCCUUGAGCACAAGUAGCCGGCUGGAUCAUUUUGUGGCCGGUUUAGGGUCUCCCUCUCUCAACUGGCUUCAAGCCACCUUAGGAAGGCUAGGACAUGACCGGAUCAUCAUCAUCAUCUUCAGUGAGGCUCAAGCUUAUUUUGGUACCUGAUACAUCAUUUCAAAAGUGCAUCAGUUCUUAAGGAAAUGCACUCAUCACAUCAAACUCAAUAAUAGUUUAAGUAUAAGGACAAUCUUGAAUGUAUUGAGAUGAGUUUAAGGUGCUUCCCUUUUAUAAGAAUGGUGAGCUCAAUCACACGGUUGGUACUGAGUAAUGCAAGAGUGAAUCCACUACUUGCAAACUUGGAUUGGCGCCAAUUCCUUCACCAUCAAAUCACCUUUGAGCUUCUUCUUAUGACCUGAGCUUGUCUCCCCCUUUCUUCUGGCUUCUUGCCUCUAUUUAGGGGUUGAGACAAAGCUUGCCUUUGUUCAUGAGCUCAAUAGGUACCUGAUUCAAUCAUACAAAGAAUGCAUGUAUCAAUUCUCAAGGGGAAAACCUAUUCUCACAUAAGAAUAAGGAUGGUUUUAGGUACUCCCCUUGCAUUAGUUUCUGGAAUGUUGAUGAGGAGUGCAGAGCACUUGAAUCCUCCACGCCAUUCCUUCUCUCAACCAGCCUUUGCAUUGUUCUCUUGAAGUUUCAACAUGUAGGGGGACUUUGCAACUCCAUAAUUUGCCACCAUCAUGUGAUUGCUUAGCCAAGAAUGUCCCUGAUUGAAUAAUCCUUGCAUCUGGCUGGUAAGAACAGUGAGGAGUGACAGCUUCUUCAGACUGAUCACUUAAGUCCUCUUUUAAUUUGCCAACCUCUUGCUGGUCUUCUAUGAGGAAAUGGGACACUGGAUAUAAUAAGCUUCAUGGAUCUUUUGGUAGCUCACUGAUAUUCCCCUCCUCAAGCUUGACUGAGUAUAGUGACAAGCUUGAACGUGAGCUUCAAUGAGUUUUGAACUGGGAGCACAACAAUACCAACAUCUGCGCUUAAGCCAACCAGUUCACCAUCUUCCAGGAGCACAACAAUACCAACAUCUGCGCUUAAGCCAACUGGAUCACCAUUUGCCUUCAGCUCCAAUGUCUUUGGACCACCAGUCUCCUCAUGACUUAGGUGAUGGCCUUCCUUGUGAGUCUCUUGAACCAGGAGCACAACAGCUCCUACGCCUGCGCUUAAGCCAACUGAUUCCACUCAUAAGAUGUCUCUCCAUGGUCAGUAAUAUACACCAAGUGUAGGCUCUGAACAACAUGGUCUCUUUUCUCCAUGUUCAGGAAUAUGCAUCUUGUGCAGGCUCUGAUCAACAUGGGUAUAUCUCUUUUCCUGUUGCUGCUUCUGGUCUAAUAGUCACAUCAUGUGUCCUACACACCAUUACAACUCAGAUAGGGAUCAGUAACAUCAGCAUGGGACCAGAUCAUGUAAUAAAAUGAAGACUGGUCGCAACUGCUUAAAAAAAAAACAGAUUGCAAAACAGCUUAUCACCUCCUAUGACAGCUUUAGAAACAAUAUGAAUGCACCAGGAACAAUAUGUAUGCCUCUUUAAUACAAUCCAAUAUGCAUUUUUAAGACAAUCCAGAUGCUAAAGAAGACUAGGCUAAUAACCUAAUCAAUUUCAACAACAGCAUGAAUACACCACACAUCUAGGAACACUCCUAGAUACUUAACAAUCUCAAGGCAGACAUGACAAUUAAAGGACUCCCAAUCGAUAUCAAUAUAUCAUGGAUGCAUGACAACCUAGGCAGACACUUCUAGGAACAAAAACAACCACAGAUGAUAAGAUUAAGACAAAAUGCAACUUCUAGCAACUUAUCAUGAUCCAUUGGACUCUAAACCAUCACUCAAAAACGACCAGACACAUUACACAAGCUAUUGUUCAGGUUUAGGAGGUUUAACUUACAGCCAAGGAACCUGGGCUGGUUCCUUGAACCUUCAUAUACACACUACUCAUCUGAGCUUGGUGGAUUUGAGUUUUGGAUUCAUUACCCAACUCCUUUUCCUUGUGUGUUUGGCCCUGUUUGUAAAGCUCACCCUUGGAUCCCCUCCUGUCCUCCUGGUCUUCUUGGUUCUAUUGGACAUCAUCCGCCUGUGAACUUUCCUUGAAGCAUGGCUGAAUUUGAGUGCUUUUAAGAACAUGAGAUGAAAUGGCUUCUCAAUGUUUCUUCUUGCUGAUUUGACUUCACCAUACACGACCAGGGGAUCAGAUAGGAACCCUGAGAAUGACUGAGAGGACCGUGGCUUUUGUUGACUCCAUAUUGAAGUAAAUUUGAGAAAGUCGGUUUGAGCAGUCUUCAAGAGGGUGUGAGCUUUGAGCUUGUGCUUGAUGUGUAAAGGUCAUCACAUAACAUUUAAUAACCUGUCACCACAACUAAAGACAGGUAUCAAAAGACAAUAAAGAGAUCAGAACAUGGUUUCUCACCAAGUCUGAUCUCCAAAAACACCUUAACAAAGAACACAAUGGACAUAAACUUUCUUGAAACUAUUCAAGCAACAACACUGAAUCCUAAUUAUCAUAACUAACCAUUCAGGUAACAUAGAAACAUCACAACCUAACACCAGGUCUAAACAACAUUUUAAAAGAAAUUUCUAAACUUUUUCUUGACAAUUUUGAAGCAAAUAAACCAGACAAUUUUCUAGACAAGAUUAGAAUAAUAUAAUGGCAUAUUUUUUUUUUUUUUUUCAGAGACAGAGAUUAAAAAUAGCACUAAGACUCUUAACAAAAUUCUAAGGCAGACAAAUACUUAGACAAAAUGACAAUUGGACAGUCUUUUCAUGUGUAGAAACUAGACAAGAACAACAAGCUAGUUUCUAAACACCCUAAGACAACACAAACGACCAGCACACACAGUGCUUUUAUUAGAGUAGAAAAUUCCGCUUACUCUCAAGAAACCUGAGCUGGUUUCUUGACUCUCCAGCCCAUGGGGGCUUAUUGAAAGUACAUUUGUUUCAGAUGUGGAUUGAAUAUCCACCACCUAUCCUUAGUGAGUCCUUCCUUGCAGUGCUGACUCUUCUGACCUUUCUUCUCUUCCAACUUGAAGUAGGAUUUGUUGGACAGAGACUGAGCUUCUGGUUGUCUCUCAUUAACAUGAGCAAAGACCUUGCAGAUUUUCCAUGGAGCUUCAUCUGAAGUAUGGCUCCAAACACCUUUGCCUCUAUGGUUUUUCUUCAUCAUUCUGACCCAGAGAGAGUAGUUUGGAGUUUUGAGCUUCACUGAACUCGCCCAUGCUUGAAUAUUCAUCAUCUUGAAGAUUUUUGGACCAGUGGAUAAUAGGAUGUUCCUACUGGUUUGAAAGGGACAGGAUUUGAAAGACUGGACUUUGAUGAAGCUUGCUGAACUGAGCUAAGACUUUCUUGAGUUCCAGAGACUGAGAUACUCCUUUAUCUUGAGUUCUGGUGAGGUUUUCCUCUCCUGGAAAACCUUUGGACCAGAGGAUAAAAGGAUGUAACAAACAGGUUUGAACAGAUUUUUAAAGAGAGAUUUUGGACAGGGAUGAUUUGCGGAAGCAAUAUAGGUUCUCAAGAGCUUGUGGCUCUGAUACCAUGAAAGAAUUGAGAUGAAAUAAAAGGAAUAUGAUGAGAAUAAGCUUCUGGUUCAGUAUGAAACCAGAGAGAGUGAUUGAUGAGCAAUUGAAAGUAAUGAGAGAGUGAAGAGAGUAUAAAGUGUUUGGGAGAGUUUCUGAGUAUGCUAGAGUAUAAGGGAGUAAUGGAGGUCGUGAGAGACAAGAGAAUAGAGAGAGAAUCUGAGAGUGUAGUAACCAGAGUAUGUGAAGAAAGAGUUUUACUCUCCUUAGUUUACAAUCAGAUACAUCAUUAUCUUAAAUAGACAAGCACACAUAUUAAACAAAUACUAAAACAGGGUUUUACUAAACAAAUAAUAUUGUAGGGUUUUCUGGUGAAGCCAGGAAGGUACAGCCAAGGUGAAUCUCGACCAGAGGGAGUAGAGAGUGACAGGGGAGAGAGAUGGGCACAGUCUGGUUGGGUGAAAGUGACAGCAGGUUCAUCCUCUUAUGCACAUGUGACUUUUACUCUAUUUAAUUCCCAACUUGUCUCAGCUCUCUCCAACGGUCUGAUGCUCCAUUUUAACUUCAAAUCUGCUUCAGAAGAUCAAGCUGUACGAGUUCCUCACCUGCCUUACCAUCCAAGUCACUCUAGGUAACUUGGAAGCCAAGACUGUACGGACUGCCUUGUGUAGCAAGGUUUUCCAGACCUGAAUCUUUUCAAGUAUCUCUUCUUCUCUUUGUCUUCUUUAUUUAUAAGAUCAAUGGAUCACACACAGCCAUGCUUCUUCCUUCUCCACUCUAACCAUAACUUGGUUCACAAGUCUGUAUGAACCAGUCUCAUCUUUGAAGUAUCCAGAUUACUUCCUCUACAAUAUCAAACUUGGAUCAUGAACCAGCUUCUUCUUCUGGUCAUUCCCUUCUUCAUUUCAAC